rnacentral:sRNA from 1 species
AACCCCAAGGUAGAUGCCACCUGGAAAUCCCCCAGUGUCCACCAGGGGGCAGUAGGCCACCGUUCUUCAUACUCGGAGAACCUGGCUGGAGAGCUCUUUCUUGUUCACCCUUCCCUCCAUCUGUAUCUCUGCCCUGCAGAUAAUGUGAAGGACUGGAGCAAGGUCGUCCUGGCCUAUGAGCCUGUGUGGGCCAUUGGUACUGGCAAGACUGCAACACCCCAACAGCUUCUUGUUCUAGGCCCAGGAAGUACACGAGAAGCUCCGAGGAUGGCUUAAGUCCAACGUCUCUGAUGCGGUGGCUCAGAGCACCCGUAUCAUUUAUGGAGG